UCCCGACACGGAGGGAGGGGGAGAGCGGUUUAAGAUGGAGUCCGAGGCACAAGAUGGAGGGGACAUGAGGGCAGCCGAUGAAGAUGCAGGUGCUGAGGCCUUUGCAGCGGGUACAGCACGUGGCAGCCAAGGUGUGCCUGGUGGUGCUAGUGGCCGCGAUGGCCCUCGCAACCCAGCUGGCCCUGGUGAUGCCAGCGACCUGGCUGAUCCCAGAGGCCCCAGCACUGGAGGAGAGUCAGGUGGCACAGCCAGUGCCAUUCCACAGAUCCCAGGGGCACCCCAAGCACCAGGGCCUGGUGGAGAUGCUGCACCUGGAGCCAGAGUUCUGAGUAACCGAGCCCUCCAGUUCAGCCUCACUGUGCCUUUCUCAUCGCAUGAGGAGGUGGACAACGCCGGUCACUUCUGGACUCCACGUACUCAACUGCAAGGGCCUGUUCGGAAAGAGCUCUAGGCUAACGGCUGCAUCCGAUUGACUGCUGAAGACCACGGCCUGAUCCCCACGUCCACUGCCUUCUUGUCUGGAGCAGCUUUCCUUGGUGAUGUGGACCUUGCAGCACUUUGUGCCCCCACUUUUUUUAAGUUUCAGCACAGAAGAGGGGCUUAAACCUAGCCUAUGUGCCCUAGCCUCAAGUGUCCUUCCCGAGGGCAUUGCUUUCUGCAGUAGUUUGAUCGCAGGCUUCGUCUUGUGCCUGUGCUGCUGCUUGGGGGCUCAGGGUCCACAUAGUUUGUUUGGUCAUUGUUAAAUGCGGAGAAUAAAACUGAGCUACUGUGCGG